GACGAACGCUGGCGGCGUGCUUAACACAUGCAAGUCGAACGGAAAGGCCCUGCUUUUGUGGGGUGCUAGAGUGGAGAACGGGUGAGUAACACGUGAGUAACCUGCCCUUGACUUUGGGAUAACUUCAGGAAACUGGGGCUAAUACCGGAUAGGAGCUCCUGCUGCAUGGUGGGGGUUGGAAAGUUUCGGCGGUUGGGGAUGGACUCGCGGCUUAUCAGCUUGUUGGUGGGGUAGUGGCUUACCAAGGCUUUGACGGGUAGCCGGCCUGAGAGGGUGACCGGCCACAUUGGGACUGCGAUACGGCCCAGACUCCUACGGGAGGCAGCAGUGGGGAAUAUUGCACAAUGGGCGGAAGCCUGAUGCAGCAACGCCGCGUGCGGGAUGACGGCCUUCGGGUUGUAAACCGCUUUCGCCUGUUACGAAGCGUGAGUGACGGUAAUGGGUAAAGAAGCACCGGCUAACUACGUG
rnacentral:rRNA from 1 species